UUGGGAGGAAAAACGUAUUUAAACCGAAGGGGGAAAAAAGUUGGUGUAUUGUAGUCUGUAUUGUAAACCUAACAUUCAAGACUCUCUUCUCUUCUCUGUGAUAACGAUGAACGGAGGAAUGAGUCGUAAGAGGAAUAGCUCCGUUUCUGUGCUUAUUUCCGACCCACAAGUAUUGGAUUGCUACAAUUGUUCUCAAACCUUAACUCUUCCACUCUUUCAGGUAUAUUCUUUUUAUUUCAACAAUUAUUUUCUAUCUUUAAUUUCUAUGUUUCUGGUGAUUAAAUGUGAUACUCUUUUACAUAUUAUGAAGCUUUGUAGUGAUUAAAUGUUUUUUAGAGUUUGGAGGGUAGGGUUUUGGGGGAAGGAGAGUAGAAUAGAGAAAAAAGAAUUAAGAUUUUUAAUUGUGCAAGUAUAAUAACAUGCUUGGAUGAGUUAUUUUAAUUAAUGGAGGCUAAUACUUUCUUUACAUUGGUUUUCAAUAUUAGUAACAAUGAACCCACUUCGGGUUGGUCGAGUGGUGUUGGCUUGGGCCCUUGGAGUGUGCUCCCCCUUAAGGUUUCAAAUUCAAUUGUCUCUGGUGUCAAUUUGGGUGGGCUAAUUUAGCUUCUUCAAAAAAAUAUUAGUAACAAUCAAUAUAGUUUAUUAAUUAUGUUGUCAAUUUUGUAUAUCUUUUUAUUUUUGAGCUUUUAUAUAUGUAUG
rnacentral:lncRNA from 1 species